AGAGGAAAAGGCAGGAUGCCUCUGCUAUGGCUUUGUGGCCAAUGGGGGAGCCGUGGAUCCCUCACAUGACUCACUGCCCCUGUCUUUCACAUGGGCUGUAAUUUAGUUCAAUUCAGAACUGCAGAUAGUACGGCUUCCGCGGGAGCCAGGGAUGCCUGAGCAGAAGUGGCUGAGUUCCUAGUGACUUUCCGAAGGACUUCUCCACCUUCCUGCGGCACGAAAACAGGGAUUCUGCACCUGCACUGGGGACAGGCUGCUAAAAGCCUCUGCUCUGCCUCCGGGGACAAGAAACUGGAGCAAAUAACCGUGUUGAAAUUGGAUCUUGGCAAAAUCACCAACAAAUGCAUGAAGGAAGCUGAAGGCAAUUUGAGUAAUGGUUCCAUAGAAAUUGAAGAAACAUGGAUGUCUCCGAAGGAGAGUAGAGAGCUUGGUUAGUUGUAUCCUAAAAUUAGGAUGCAAUUAAGGUACGUCUCCUUUUUGAGUUCAAUUGAAAUGCUUUGUUCUUUCCAUGUCAGAGAAUUUCUUCUCUUUUUUCCUCAGUCUGUCUCUCUCUCCCUCUCUCUCCUGUCUUCCUUUUCUUCCUCUCAUUAGCAGAUGUCUUUUAUAAUUGAUGUUGUUCACGUCCUUUCAUCAAAUGUAUGCCACAUCACUUAGGCAAACCAGCAGACACGGCACCUAAAUACACAUUAGCGAAGAAUGGCAUCCCGGAGACGCGUCGACUGUCUCAUCAGGGCAGUUAUAAUAAGCAUCUUGGUGCCACUGAAUGCAAUGCUGUAUUCAAACAGUAGCUUUCAUCUUCACUCUUUUUAAAUAUAAAAGUAAACCUUGAAGCCCUUUGAAGGACCUAACCAACAACAUACAUAUGAAAAUAGAUCAGUAAGGCUUUGAGAAAUACCGUGAUGUAAAAAUCUGUAAAGCAUCUUUGCAUUUUUUUCCAAGAAAGACCUCCAGGUAAAUGAUGGCUUUUAAUAAGACACAUGACAGUCUCAAUUAUGAGAAUCAUUAUUGUGUGCCCUGUGUGCCAUUUUGUGUUCCCAGCAGGAUACCUUUUUUUUUCCACAUCAAGAAUUUCCAGGGCUGUCUACUGUUGUCUGAGUAAAGUACAUUGAAUGUUUCCCCGAAGCUGCACUAAUUCAAAGGAAAAAAAAAAAAAGCAAAACACACAGCAACGACAACAAAAAUUUUCUCAAGUGGUCAGACAGACUGGAACUAGUGGAUUUAUAGGUGACUCAUUGUCAUGCGGACUCCCUGUGCAUUGAAGGAUUUUUAUCACCAUCCUUGGCUCCCCAUAGCAGGUGGACCAUAGUAGCACCUGGCUGUACUGCCUUGAUACCCACACAUUGCCAAAUGCCCUCCAGAGAUCAAAACUGCCAUUUGAAAACAAGCUGUCCAGACUUUUUUGGUUUCUUCUUUAGGAACAAAAAUUUAUGUACUAAGUGGAGAACAGUUCUAUAAUGUAAAUGUUUCUUCAGGAUAUAAAAACUUUUUACAUGAUAUAUAAAACUAUCGUUUCAAUGGUAUAUUUAUCACUUGUGUUAU